rnacentral:rRNA from 1 species
AUUGAACGCUGGCGGCAUGCUUUACACAUGCAAGUCGAACGGUAACAGGCCUUCGGGCGCUGACGAGUGGCGAACGGGUGAGUAAUGCAUCGGAACGUGCCCAGAGGUGGGGGAUAACGCAGCGAAAGCUGUGCUAAUACCGCAUAUUAUCUGAGGAUGAAAGCGGGGGACUAAGCAGCAAUGUUUGGCCUCGCGCCUUUGGAGCGGCCGAUGUCAGAUUAGGUAGUUGGCGGGGUAACGGCCCACCAAGCCUACGAUCAAUAGCUGAUGUGAGAGCAUGAUCAGCCACACGGGCACUGAGACACGGGCCCGACUCCUACGGGAGGCAGCAGUAAGGAAUAUUGGGCAAUGGACGAAAGUCUGACCCAGCCAUGCCGCGUGAAGGAUGAAGGUCCUCUGGAUUGUAAACUUCUUUUUUCUGGGGAGAAAUGCACUUUUUCUAAAGUGUUUGACGGUACCAGAAGAAUAAGCACCGGCUAACUCCGUG